UAUCUUUCAACCAUCCAUCAAGGUCAACUUGAUUGGAGUUAGGGUUAAAUUUUGCAUUUUCGGCUCGAGUAUCUUUCACCCAUCCAUCAACGUAAACUUGGUUGGAGUUAGGGUUGGCAUUUGCUUUCUCAGCUCUAUUAUCUUUCAACCAUCCAUCAAGGUAAACUUGGUUGGAGUCAGGGUUGGAUUUUGCUUUCUCAGUCCGAGUAUCUUUCAACCAUACAUCAGCGUAAGCUUCGUUGGAGUCAGUAUUGACUUUUGCUUUCUCAGCCCUAGUAUCUUUCAACCAUCCAUCAAGGUAAACUUGGUAGGAUCCAGGGUUGAAUUUUACAUUUUGGGCUCGAGUACAUUUCAACCAUCCAUCAAGGUAAACUUGGUUGGAGUCAGGGUCGGCUUUUUCUUUCUUGACUCUAGUAUCUUUCAAACAUCCAUCGAGGUAAACUUGGUUGAAUUCAGGGUUGGCUUUUGCUUUCUCAGUCCGAGUAUCUUUCAACCAUCCAUCAAGGUAUACUAGGUUGGAGUCAGGGUUUAACUUUGCGUUUUUGGCUCGGGUAUCUUUCAACCAUCCAUCAAGGUAAACUUGGUUGGAGUCAGGGUUGGCUUUUUCUUUCUCGACUCUAGUAUCUUUCAACCAUCCAUCGAGGUAAACUUGGUUGGAGUCAGGGUUGGCUUUUUCUUUCUCGACUCUAGUAUCUUUCAACCAUCCAUCGAGAUAAACUUGGUUGGAAUCA